rnacentral:rRNA from 1 species
AUUGAACGCUAGCGGGAUGCUUUACACAUGCAAGUCGAACGAGUGGCGGACGGGUGAGUAAUAUAUCGGAACGUGCCCAGUAGCGGGGGUUAACUACUCGAAAGAGAGGAUAAUACCGCAUACUAUUGGAGCGGCCGCAAUCGGUUUAGCUAGUUGGGGGGGUAAAGGCCCACCAAGGCCACGAUCCGUAGCUGGUCUGAGAGGACGACCAGCCACACUGGGACUGAGACACUGCCCAGACUCCUACGUGAGGCAGCAGUGGGGAAUUUUGGACAAUGGGGGAAACCCCGAUCCAGCCAUCCCGCGUGUAUGAGAAGGCCUUCGGGUUGUAAAGUACUUUUGGCAGAGAAGCGGUAUCUGCAGAAUAAGCACCGGCUAACUACGUGCCAGCAGCCGCGGUAAUUC